rnacentral:lncRNA from 1 species
CAAGCCGUCACAUAUCAUUUUCCACCUCCCGUAGGGCUCCACAAUUAAUCGAAUUCACAUGGAAAUCACAAUAUUGACAUGUUUAAUAUUCAUACCGCAAGAAAUACAUAUCAUAGCCAUAUUGCAUGCAAAGUGGCAAUGCAUUUUUUUGGAGGGGGGGGGCUGUUUUGCAUGUUAUUUUGGCAUUAAUGCGUGUCACAUAUCAGUUUGCAAACAAUGUAAUAAAAAAUAUCAUUGCCUUAAUAAAGCCGCAUACAAACAUGGACUCUUUUUUGUUUUCUAGAGUAAAGCAGCUCCAAUAUACAGGUGUUUCAGCCCAGCUCAGUGCUUUCUGUGGUGGUGGGGCAGCCAGAGGAAUAUACAGGUGUUUCAGCCCAGCUCAGUGCUUUCUGUGGUGGUGGGGCAGCCAGAGGAAUAUACAGGUGUUUCAGCCCAGCUCAGUGCUUUCUGUGGUGGUGGAGGGGCAGCCAGAGGAAUAUACAGGUGUUUCAGCCCAGCUCAGUGCUUUCUGUGGUGGAGGGGCAGCCAGAGGAAUAUACAGGUGUUUCAGCCCAGCUCAGUGCUUUCUGUGGUGGAGGGGCAGCCAGAGGAAUAUACAGGUGUUUCAGCCCAGCUCAGUGCUUUCUGUGGUGGUGGGGCAGCCAGAGGAAUAUACAGGUGUUUCAGCCCAGCUCAGUGCUUUCUGUGGUGGUGGGGCAGCCAGAGGAAUAUACAGGUGUUUCAGCCCAGCUCAGUGCUUUCUGUGGUGGUGGGGCAGCCAGAGGAAUAUACAGGUGUUUCAGCCCAGCUCAGUGCUUUCUGUGGUGGUGGAGGGGCAGCCAGAGGAAUAUACAGGUGUUUCAGCCCAGCUCAGUGCUUUCUGUGGUGGAGGGGCAGCCAGAGGAAUAUACAGGUGUUUCAGCCCAGCUCAGUGCUUUCUGUGGUGGAGGGGCAGCCAGAGGAAUAUACAGGUGUUUCAGCCCAGCUCAGUGCUUUCUGUGGUGGUGGGGCAGCCAGAGGAAUAUACAGGUGUUUGAGCCCAGCUCAGUGCUUUCUGUGGUGGAGGUGGGGCAGCCAGAGGAAUAUACAGGUGUUUCAGCCCAGCUCAGUGCUUUCUGUGGUGG